AGUCAUGACAGUGUAAGAGUAGUGGACAGAAGGGAUUUCUAAAAUUUUUGAGACU
rnacentral:snoRNA from 2 species